UUGAACGAGAGUAGCCACCUAAGAGAAGCAUGAUCUAACCCCACCUAUUCCUGAAAGAGAGGCAUCCGUAUCUAAAAUAAAAGGAAGUUCGACCUUUGGAUAAGCUAAAAUCUCCGAAGAAACAAGAUUUUCUUUUAAUUUCUUGAAAGCCUCUUCGUAUUCCG